rnacentral:rRNA from 1 species
GUCUAUGGCCAUACCAUCCUGAACGUGCCCAAUCUCGUCUGAUCUCGGAAGCUAAGCAGGGUUGGUUAGUAUUUGGAUGGGAGGAACUGAGAAGAAAGGCCAAGACA